ensembl:snoRNA
GGCGAGCGGUGAUGAUGCUCGACAGUCUGUCGUUUUUCCUGAUGUCAACUGACGGUUUUAAGUCACUACCUCAUCUGAGCUCGAG